UUUGGCCUACGGGAGGCAGCAGUGAGGAAUAUUGGUUAAUGGCCGAGAGGCUGAACCAGCCACGUCGCGUGAGGGAAGACGGCCCUACGGGUUGUAAACCUCUUUUGUCGGGGAGCAAAGCGAACCACGUGUGGUUCAUUGAGAGUACCCGAAGAAAAAGCAUCGGCUAACUCCGUGCCAGCAGCCGCGGUAAUACGUAGGGGGCAAGCGUUAUCCGGAUUUACUGGGUGUAAAGGGAGCGUAGGUGGCAGGGCAAGUCAGAUGUGAAAACCCGGGGCUCAACUCCGGGAGUGCAUUUGAAACCG
rnacentral:rRNA from 1 species